AAGUUUUGGAAACUUGCCAAAUGUUUGACCAACUCUCAUACAUCUUGGGUUUCAGGAUAGAGCACAAGUCAUGAGUGAAUAUUUCUGAAUACUGAAAGGAACCUGAAUGAGCAGCUGAUCUAGCACAGGCAUCUGCAGUUUCAUUACCAGAGAUGCCCAUGUGACCUGGAAUCCAAGCUAAAACUAUGUUAAUUUUGAGUUCAUAGCACUCUUUCAAAGUUUCUCUUAUUUUGAGAAUGAUGGGAAACUGACUUUUUGUCUUAAACGGAUUUGAGAGAAUUGAUUGGAGGCAACUUUUAGAGUCUGAAAGGAUAAUAGAAUUGUUCAUGUUGUGAGACUUAACAAAUAGAAUAGCUUCAAGAAUGGCGAUUGAUUCCCCUGUAAACACAGAAGUGGUAGGUGGGCAGCUAUAACUCAGUAUAAUUCUUGUUGAGGGAAUCCAUACUGCAGCCCCAACCGGACUCAUGUCUGUUUUUGAAGCAUCCGUGUAGAUUUUAUACCAAUGUCGAAAAUCUGAGUCCAUUAUAUGAGAAAAAGUUUUAUUUGCUUCUAUAGAAAAGUUAUCAACACCUAAGUCUAAAAUUACUGAGGGUUGGAAAGUAAGAGCAUUGAAAGGCAUAGAAAAUAAAGGCAAUUUAGAAUAUUGAAAGAGAGGGUUAGAGAGCUGAGAAAAUAAAAGAUGUUGAUAGAGACAGUCCAUGUUGUGUUAAAUAUUCAGAAAGAUAAUCAAGAGCAUUAUUUAAAUGAUUAGAUGAAUCUUGUAUAGACUUGUCAGAAGAAUACAGGACAAUGUCAUCUGCAUAUUGCAGUAUCUGACAGAAAGGUGUAACGGUACUGUUGAGGUCAUGGGUAUACAGAUUAUAAAGAAGGGGACUAACGACUGGGCCUUGAGGUAAACCUUUCCAAACUGACUUAGGAGGGAGGUAAGAGGAUGGACCUUUAAUAGUGAUGGAUCUCUCCAUUAACAUGUUACAUAUGAAACGGGAUAACUUCACGGGGAUACUCAGCUGGUUGAGUUUACUCCUGAGUAGAGGAAGUGAAAUGUUAUCAUAUGCAGAUUCUAUAUCAAGAAAAACUCCCACAAGGUGUUCUUUUCUGAGGAGUGCUAUUCUAAUGUCAGUUGUAAGGAUACCUAAGCUAUCUAAGGAGAUCUUGCCCUUUCUGAAACCGUACUGGGAGUUGGAAAGGAGAUUAUUGGUUUCAACAAACCACUCAAGUCUUUGUUUAAUCAUGAUUUCAGAAACUUUUGCAAGAGCAGAAGAGAGGGCAAUUGGCCUAUAGCUGGUAGCUUCAGAUGGAUUCUGACCAGGUUUAAGUAAUGGAAUAAUUACCUGAUUUUUCCAAGGUGGAGGGAUGGAACCAAGAUCAAAAAGGUUAUUGAUUAUGCUAAGAUAUAUUAUUCCUUGGAUGUAGAUGAUGAAUUUUUAAUGAAAGAGUAUGGGAUUCCAUCUACCCCAGGAGCAGAGUCAACUAGGCCAUCCAGAGCAAGAAGAAGUUCAGAGAAUGAGAAGGGGGACUCUAAACUGUGAGUUGAGGCAAGAGGGAUUGGGGGGGAUGGAAAAUAGUCCAUAUUUGGAACUGAAGGGGGGGACAUCCUAUCUGAAAAGGAAUCAAGCCAUACAGAAGGAUCCACAUUAAAAUCACACACUUGAUCACAAAAUGAACCUCUAAAUUUUUUAAUUUGUUUCCAGACAGUUGAGGAUGGAGUGCUUGGUUUUAAAUUCUGGCAAAAAUUAAUCCAACCUUGUUUUUUCUUUUUUCUGAAUAAAUGGGUAGCCUUCGCCGCCACUUUUUUAUAAUAAAUAAAGUUUGACAUGGA